rnacentral:rRNA from 1 species
GACGAACGCUGGCGGCGUGCUUAACACAUGCAAGUCGAACGGAAAGGCCCUGCUUUUGUGGGGUGCUCGAGUGGCGAACGGGUGAGUAACACGUGAGUAACCUGCCCUUGACUUUGGGAUAACUUCAGGAAACUGGGGCUAAUACCGGAUAGGAGCUCCUGCUGCAUGGUGGGGGUUGGAAAGUUUCGGCGGUUGGGGAUGGACUCGCGGCUUAUCAGCUUGUUGGUGGGGUAGUGGCUUACCAAGGCUUUGACGGGUAGCCGGCCUGAGAGGGUGACCGGCCACAUUGGGACUGAGAUACGGCCCAGACUCCUACGGGAGGCAGCAGUGGGGAAUAUUGCACAAUGGGCGGAAGCCUGAUGCAGCAACGCCGUGUGCGGGAUGACGGCCUUCGGGUUGUAAACCGCCUUCGCCUGUGACGAAGCGUGAGUGACGGUAAUGGGUAAAGAAGCACCGGCUAACUACGUG